rnacentral:rRNA from 1 species
CAGCGGAGCAUGUUGUUUAAUUCGACGCGACGCGAAGAACCUUACCAGGGCUUGACAUGCACGGGAAUGUCGUAGAAAUAGCACCCUCGGACAGGUGUGACGAGCGCAACCCCUGCCCUAUGUUGCCAGCGGGAUGUCAAGUAUCAUGCCCCUUAUGUCCUGGCUACAUACAUGGCCGGUACAAGGGCUGCAAACCUGCGAGGGUGAGCGUCCCAAAAAGCCGGUCCCGGUUCGGAUUGGAGUGAAACUCGCCUCCACGAGGGCGGAGUUGCUAGUAAUCGGGAUCAGCAACGCCGCGGUGAAUAUGUUCCCGGGCCUUGUACACACCGCCGUCACACCACGAAAGUCGGCAAUACCCGAAGCCGGUGGCCCAACCCGCAAGGGAGGGAGCCGUCGAAGUAGGGUUGAUGAUUGGGGUGAAGUCGUACAAGGU